GUGGGGAAUUUUGGACAAUGGGCGCAAGCCUGAUCCAGCAAUGCCGCGUGCAGGAAGAAGGCCUUCGGGUUGUAAACUGCUUUUGUACGGAACGAAACGGUCCUGGUUAAUACCUGGGGCUAAUGACGGUACCGUAAGAAUAAGCACCGGCUAACUACGUGCCAGCAGCCGCGGUAAUACGUAGGGUGCGAGCGUUAAUCGGAAUUACUGGGCGUAAAGCGUGCGCAGGCGGUGCUGUAAGACAGGCGUGAAAUCCCCGGGCUCAACCUGGGAAUUGCGCUUGUGACUGCAGUGCUGGAGUACGGCAGAGGGGGAUGGAAUUCCGCGUGUAGCAGUGAAAUGCGUAGAUAUGCGGAGGAACACCGAUGGCGAAGGCAGUCCCCUGGGCCUGUACUGACGCUCAUGCACGAAAGCGUGGGGAGCAAACAGGAUUAGAAACCCCUGUAGUCC
rnacentral:rRNA from 1 species